UACGUAGGGUGCAAGCGUUAAUCGGAAUUACUGGGCGUAAAGCGUGCGCAGGCGGUUUUGUAAGUUUGUCGUGAAAUCCCCGGGCUCAACCUGGGAAUUGCGAUGAAGACUGCAAGGCUAGAAUCUGGCAGAGGGGGGUGGAAUUCCACGUGUAGCAGUGAAAUGCGUAGAGAUGUGGAGGAACACCGAUGGCGAAGGCAGCUCGCUGGAACGGUACUGACGCUGAGGCGCGAAAGCGUGGGGAGCGAACAGG
rnacentral:rRNA from 1 species